CCUUGACAUACUAAGAACUUUCCAGAGAUGGAUUGGUGCCUUCGGGAACUUAGAUACAGGUGCUGCAUGGCUGUCGUCAGCUCGUGUCGUGAGAUGUUGGGUUAAGUCCCCGNAACGAGCGCAACCUUUUCCUAUUUGCCAGCGGGUCAUGCCGGGAACUUUAAGGAUACUGCCAGUGACAAACUGGAGGAAGGCGGGGACGACGUCAAGUCAUCAUGGCCCUUACGGCCAGGGCUACACACGUGCUACAAUGGUCGGUACAAAGGGUUGCUACCUCGCGAGAGGAUGCUAAUCUCAAAAAAGCCGAUCGUAGUCCGGAUCGCAGUCUGCAACUCGACUGCGUGAAGUCGGAAUCGCUAGUAAUCGCGGAUCAGAAUGCCGCGGUGAAUACGUUCCCGGGCCUUGUACACACCGCCCGUCACACCAUGGGAGUUUGUUGCACCAGAAGUAGGUAGUCUAACCGCAAGGAGGACGCUUACCACGGUGUGGCCGAUGACUGGGGUGAAGUCGUAACAAGGUAGGCGUAGAUGA
rnacentral:rRNA from 1 species